rnacentral:rRNA from 1 species
AGGACGAACGCUGGCGGCGUGCUUAACACAUGCAAGUCGAGCGGAAAGGCCCUUCGGGGUACUCGAGCGGCGAACGGGUGAGUAACACGUGAGCAACCUGCCCUUAGCUCCGGGAUAGCUCCGGGAAACCGGAAUUAAUACCGGAUAUGACCUAGGCCGACAUCGGCUGUGGUGGAAAGUUUUUCGGCUGGGGAUGGACUCGCGGCCUAUCAGCUUGUUGGUGGGGUAAUGGCCUACCAAGGCGACGACGGGUAGCCGGCCUGAGAGGGCGACCGGCCACACUGGGACUGAGACACGGCCCAGACUCCUACGGGAGGCAGCAGUGGGAAUCUUGCGCAAUGGGCGAAAGCCUGACGCAGCGACGCCGCGUGGGGGAUGAAGGCCUUCGGGUUGUAAACCCUUUCAGCAGGGACGAAGCGAAAGUGACGGUACCUGCAGAAGAAGCGCCGGCUAACUACGUGCCAGCAGCCGC